AUGAAAAAAAAAUUAUACAUGAAAGUUACUGAGAACGACGAGACGAAUCCGGAUACACCCUCCGUUCGUCUGCCACACACCCCUAGCUUAGCGAACAUGCAACUUCCCCUCUCCGGUUCAUCUGUCCGAAAACGCGAAACACCGGGGAUACUUUUCCGGAUGUUUUCCCCCUUCGCCGGUAUCACCUCCUACCGCGUUAGGUCACACCCGGCACAUCUUAUUGCCAUGUUAUGCUUUGUGGUCCUAUGUUUGCUUUAUAUUUACGGUUUCUUCCCCCUCUUGUCUCCGGUAGACCCCGAGACAGAUCUUGCCCUUGUGAUCGACUACGUCGACGAUGACCCCUCCUUACCAGAGCAACCAGGCAAGCAAACCCCCCUUGAGCAUUCCGAUAUCGCCCAUUUCUUUCCCCCUCAUGCUUGCAUUAGAACUGCUACUGCUUUAUGUAUGAUCCUACUCUGA
rnacentral:rRNA from 1 species